rnacentral:rRNA from 1 species
UACGUAGGGGCUAGCGUUGUCCGGAAUCAUUGGGCGUAAAGAGCGUGUAGGCGGCCCGGUAAGUCCGCUGUGAAAGUCGGGGGGCUCAACCCUCGAAUGCCCGGUGGAUACUGUCGGGCUAGAGUGCGGAAGAGGCGAGUGGAAGUCCUGGUGUAGCGGUGAAAUGCGCAGAUAUCAGGAGGAACACCAAUGCGAAGGCAGCUCGCUGGGCCACACCUGACGCUGAGACGCGAAAGCUAGGGGGAGCGAAACAGG